CAGCUCCACCAGCCUCGCCUCCCUCGCUAAUUACAGACCUUCCCUGGGGAGGAAGGCCUGGCCAGGAGGCCCUCAUUACGGGCUGCAAACCCCGAUGACCAAACCCGGGGACUGGAGUGUGGCGCUCUGGAAGCCACGCCCAGGGCUCCUGCUCAGCCCCGCUGUGCCCUCGGGAACAAGGUUGAGAAGCGGCCGGCUGGACGGAGGCCUGGGCCUACACAGCCUCGCCCUCAGAGAUGGGCUUUGAUGUGGGUCUGCCUGGGGGGUAAUCAUGGGUUCCGAGGCCCUGUCUGGGCUCUGCCCACGGCCCCCAGCCCAGGCCACCAGAGCCAGCCCCUGAGGAUGACCUUGGCAGACGGGGCAGGGACAGAGGAUCAUCGGAGGACUUGGAAGAGGAGCUCUAAGGCCACACUUCCUCAUUGUUCACACACUCGUCUCCUCACGAGGAGCAAACAGCAAAGGUCUUUCUAUGUAGUCCAGGCUGGCCUUGAACUCAUGGUGAUACUCCUGUCUCAGCUUCCUGAGUGCUGGGAUUACAGACAUCACCACUAUGCCCUGCUCACUGAUGAAUUUUAAAGGAGGAAAACAACAAGGUCAGAGUGUUGGUUUUAUUUUGUAAAAAAUGCAGCUGAACCUGACUCAACUCCAGAGAAGGCGCAGCUUGCUCAGAGCCAUCAGCAUCACCAUGGCAACCAUGCCAUCCACGAGCACUUGAAAAUGUCAUUAUCAGCAGCGGCCCUGUGUGUUCCUUCUCACCGCAAGGCAAACUUGGGCCCCCACAGCUCCCUGACCCUCAGGGUGGGGGGCUGGGACUGGGCUCCCCCAGAAGCAGAGAGUCGAAAGGAGGGACUUUGGGUUUCCCUCAUCCUCAUCUUGCCUGUCUGCCUUGGACAUCCGUCUAGAAGGAGCGGAGAGCAUCUCUUUCCUGCUGGGCAGGCAGGCAGAGUGGACACUAAGCUCACACUUUCAAGGUCUGAAAGCCAUGAUUUCUCUUUGUUUCUCUCUUUUUGGAGGGGAGGUGGUUUGAGACAGAGUCUCACUAUGUAGCCCAGGCUGGCCUCAAACUCUCAGUGAUCCUCUUGCCUCAGCCUCCUGAGUGCUGGGAUUGACAAGGGUGGGGCACUGCUCCCAGCUGCCAUUUCUAUUUCUAAGGUUGUGAGGUGGGGACAGCUGCAGAGCUCCUGAGGCCUAGACUGCAAAUGUGGAUGAAGAAGAUGAGGACAAUGCUGAUGGAACCCACUGCGGGGUGUCUAUCACCAGGAGUCAGCUUUCUGAGUGUGGAUAUGAGCAGCCACUUUGGGCCACGAGGCAGGGGCCAGGCUGAGGAUGGAGAACACCAGAUAAAACCUUCCAGGGCAGGCGGGGCCUGACUGCGCUAACGAGAUUCGAAACCUCAACAUGAUCGAGAUUGGGAGGCUGAAUCCAAACUCAGCUCUGGAAAACAAAAACCAAGCCCUCGAUUUCACUCUCCC
rnacentral:lncRNA from 1 species